GCCAGGCACAGUGGCACGUGUCUGUAGUUCCAGCUACUUGGGAGGCUGAGGCAGGAGGACUACCUGAGCCCGGGAGUUCUGGGUUGUAGUGUGCAUGCCAAUUGGGUAUCCAUAUCAAGCCUGGCAUCAAUAUGUUAAGCUCCUAACAGCAGGGGACCACCAGGUUGCCUAAGGACGGGUGAACUGGUCGAGGCCGGAAAUGGAGGUCAAAACUCCCAUGCUAAUCAGUAGUGAGGUCAUGUAACAUAGUGAGACCUUGCCUCUA
ensembl:misc_RNA Metazoa_SRP Metazoan signal recognition particle RNA